GAUGAACGCUGACAGAAUGCUUAACACAUGCAAGUCGACUGGAAUUCUUCUUCGGGAGAUAGUACGGUGGCGGACGGGCGAGUAACGCGUAAAGAAUUUGCCCUUCAGACUGGGACAACUAAUCGAAAGGUUAGCUAAUACCGGAUAUUAUGAGACCUUGGCAUCAAGGGCUUAUGAAAGCUAUAUGCGCUGGAGGAGAACUUUGCGUCCCAUUAGGUAGUUGGUAGGGUAAUGGCCUACCAAGCCGACGAUGGGUAGCCGGCCUGAGAGGGUGAACGGCCACAAGGGGACUGAGACACGGCCCUUACUUCUACGGGAGGCAGCAGUGGGGAAUAUUGGACAAUGGACCAAAAGUCUGAUCCAGCAAUUCUGUGUGCACGAUGAAGGUCUUCGGAUUGUAAAGUGCUUUCAGGUGGGAAGAAGAAAGUGACGGUACCACCAGAAGAAGCGACGGCUAAAUACGUGCCAGCCGCCGCGGUAAU
rnacentral:rRNA from 1 species